UUCUGAAAGGAAGAUUAUUCAAGAUGGCAUCAUGAGUCACCAUGUUCACAUGAUUAAAGGUAUUCCCGUAGACGAUGGGAUGCGUUCCAUUAGAUAGUAGCGGGGUAACGGCCCACCUAGUCUUCGAUGGAUAGGGGUUCUGAGAGGAAGGUCCCCCACAUUGGAACUGAGACACGGUCCAAACUCCUACGGGAGGCAGCAGUGAGGAAUAUUGGUCAAUGGGCGAGAGCCUGAACCAGCCAAGUAGCGUGAAGGAUGACUGCCCUAUGGGUUGUAAACUUCUUUUAUAAAGGAAUAAAGUCGGGUAUGCAUACCCGUUUGCAUGUACUUUAUGAAUAAGGAUCGGCUAACUCCGUGCCCGCAGCCGCGGUAAUACGGAGGAUCCGAGCGUUAUCCGGAUUUAUUGGGUUUAAAGGGAGCGUAGAUGGAUGUUUAAGUCAGUUGUGAAAGUUUGCGGCUCAACCGUAAAAUUGCAGUUGAUACUGGAUAUCUUGAGUGCAGUUGAGGCAGGCGGAAUUCGUGGUGUAGCGGUGAAAUGCUUAGAUAUCACGAAGAACUCCGAUUGCGAAGGCAGCCUGCUAAGCUGCAACUGACAUUGAGGCUCGAAAGUGUGGGUAUCAAACAGGAUUAGAUACCCUGGUAGUCCACACGGUAAACGAUGAAUACUCGCUGUUUGCGAUAUACGGCAAGCGGCCAAGCGAAAGCGUUAAGUAUUCCACCUGGGGAGUACGCCGGCAACGGUGAAACUCAAAGGAAUUGACGGGGGCCCGCACAAGCGGAGGAACAUGUGGUUUAAUUCGAUGAUACGCGAGGAACCUUACCCGGGCUUAAAUUGCAGAUGAAUUACGGUGAAAGCCGUAAGCCGCAAGGCAUCUGUGAAGGUGCUGCAUGGUUGUCGUCAGCUCGUGCCGUGAGGUGUCGGCUUUAAGUGCCAUAACGAGCGCAACCCUUGGUUGUCAGUUACUAACAGGUUCUGCUGAGGACUCUGACAGGACUGCCAUCGUAAGAUGUGAGGAAGUUGGGGAUGACGUCAAAUCAGCACGGCCCUUACGUCCGGGGCUACACACGUGUUACAAUGGGGGGGACAGAGGGUCCGCUACCACGCGAGUGGAAUGCAAUUCCUAAAACCUCUUCUCAGUUCGGACUGGAGUCUGCAACCCAGACUCCACGAAGCUGGAUUCGCUAG
rnacentral:rRNA from 1 species